rnacentral:rRNA from 1 species
UGGUGAACUCCACAUACGCAUCCUUUGCUGAGGAUACGGUUAACGGAGCGAAAGCGACGUUCAACCGCAAAAGAAGCAGAGGGGGCUUAGUGGUGGGGUGACUGCGUACCUUUUGUAUAAUGGGUCAGCGACUUAUAUUCUGUAGCAAGGUUAACCGAAUAGGGGAGCCGGAGGGAAACCGAGUCUUAAUUGGGCGUUAAGUUGCAGGGUAUAGACCCGAAACCCGGUGAUCUAGCCAUGGGCAGGUUGAAGGUUGGGUAACACUAACUGGAGGACCGAACCGACUAAUGUUGAAAAAUUAGCGGAUGACCUGUGGCUGGGGGUGAAAGGCCAAUCAAACCGGGAGAUAGCUGGUUCUCCCCGAAAGCUAUUUAGGUAGCGCCUCGUGAAUUCAUCUCCGGGGGUAGAGCACUGUUUCGGCUAGGGGGCCAUCCCGGCUUACCAACCCGAUGCAAACUGCGAAUACCGGAGAAUGUUAUCACGGGAGACACACGGCGGGUGCUAACGUCCGUCGUGAAGAGGGAAACAACCCAGACCGCCAGCUAAGGUCCCAAAGUCAUGGUUAAGUGGGAAACGAUGUGGGAAGGCCCAGACAGCCAGGAUGUUGGCUUAGAAGCAGCCAUCAUUUAAAGAAAGCGUAAUAGCUCACUGGUCGAGUCGGCCUGCGCGGAAGAUGUAACGGGGCUAAACCAUGCACCGAAGCUGCGGCAGCGACACUCAGGUGUUGUUGGGUAGGGGAGCGUUCUGUAAGCCUGUGAAGGUGGCCUGUGAGGGUUGCUGGAGGUAUCAGAAGUGCGAAUGCUGACAUAAGUAACGAUAAAGCGGGUGAAAAGCCCGCUCGCCGGAAGACCAAGGGUUCCUGUCCAACGUUAAUCGGGGCAGGGUGAGUCGACCCCUAAGGCGAGGCCGAAAGGCGUAGUCGAUGGGAAACGGGUUAAUAUUCCCGUACUUGGUGUUACUGCGAAGGGGGGACGGAGAAGGCUAUGUUGGCCGGGCGACGGUUGUCCCGGUUUAAGCGUGUAGGUGUGUGUUCCAGGUAAAUCCGGUUCACUUUAACACUGAGGCGUGACGACGAGGCACUACGGUGCUGAAGCAACAAAUGCCCUGCUUCCAGGAAAAGCCUCUAAGCAUCAGGUAACAU